AAAAAAGUCAGGAAAAGAAGGAGUACAUUUUGGUUCGGACUUUCAGAGAGAGGCAGCUUGGUGGGAAAGCCUCAGCAGCACAGAAUGGAAGCAGUCUUUUCGGUUUCUCUUGUUUCUUCAAAGGAAACAGGCUCCGCAGUGGAAUAAAAAAGUAUAUUGCGGCGUAAAUCGGCGUUAACGAUUUCGAGUGACGGCAGCAAAGCCGUAACUAGGGUGGUACCACGGUAAAUUCGUCCCUGUU
rnacentral:ncRNA from 1 species